AGAGGGUUGAAAAUCUUAGAAGCUAAACCAAUUGAAGAAAAUAAGUUUCGUCAAAAGUCGACAAGUUUGGAAUGUUAUAACAUGUACUUUGGGGUGAGACUAGGGUUCUUAACAUGAUAAGGAGGUUAUUCAAUGAGUUAUUUUAGUCGUAUGAUAAUCAUUUUCUACAUUUUGAAGGCAAGCAAGUUGUGGAACAAGAGUUGGCAAAGGUCAUCACAAGUUACACUCAUAAAUUUGCUGAAAUUUAGGUCAAAUGUAUCUGAGAAUGUCUCCAAAUAUACUUGGAAUCAUGGGGUGUUCUACCUACCAAAUUGAAGAUAUACGAGUCUAGUUUCUAACUCAUUAAACCGUUUGUCAAUACGACAUUGAAGUAGAGAUAUAUUCGUGUUUUCGCGAGACCACGCAAGCAGCUCCCAAUGGGACCCACUUAGGCGGUGGUUGACCUACUUCAAUUUAUAAACGAUUUGAAUGCCUAUUUUUGCUCAUUUUUAAACUAAAAUUCGUCUCCAAACUUCUCCUAACCCUCCUAAACAUAUACUACAACGGUUUGAAGUGAUUCCAAAGCGAUUACACUAUAUUUCAACAUCAAAACUUAGUUCUAGUGAAGAACAACACCUCUUUGAGGUUGUGUUGUCAUUGAGGAUUGUUGUGGGCUGUAUUUGGAUGAAAUUCUAAGCUGUUGUUGCUGUCUAAGGUGAGUAUAACAGCCUACUAAUUGUGAUUAAUCUUGUUUGUAUGUUGGUUAAGUUGUUAGGAUGAUAAACUACAAGAUAAUACUUGGGUUAGCUUAAGUCACUUCUAUGGUGUUGUAUUGCUAUUGAGGGUUGUUGUAAACUGAAUAUAACUUGGAUUUUGACUUGAAGUUACUAUAGGAGGUAUUUAUAUUGUGUUCUUACUUGUUCCUAAGGUUAUCUUGAUGUUGAUUAAGUUAAAUGGAUGGGCAAGACAUGAACUAGUGAAUAAAGUUGCUAAUUGAGGAUAGUUGAAGUUGUGGAUUAUUUUCGUUGUUAUAAAUAUAUGGUUUAAGGCUAGAAUCAUUGAUUAAUGACAUCAUUAUAAUGUUAGUUAUACUUUUAUGUUGAAGUAAGAAGUCUCUAAGGAUUGAUAAGGGGUAUACGGAUUCCAAUCGGAGCUUGCCGCUCGUCGUAAUGUAGUUGUGACUUGUUCUUGUUAUAUGGUGUCUUGAUAUUGAUAAUUAUGUAUUGAUGGAUUGCUAUGGUCAUUAUUGUUUGUAUAUGGUAUUGGAGGAGGCCCUUGUUACAAGGGAGAUGCUGCCAAAAUUUACGUAAAUGAGCUACUAGAUUAAGUUAUAGACUUAGCCUUUGCUCAUCACUGAUUUUGAAUCUCCUUAUACUAUGAUAGAUUGAGUUGACUUGUUUGAAGAGUUGCUUGGAAGUGAUUAAGGACUCAAUGGGUUUAAGGUAUGUUAAGGCACUUUCUUCUUUCUUUUGGCAUGAUCUAAAGUGAAAUGAAUACGCUACUUCAUAACGGAUCUACUCCUAGCAACUAAGGUUGUCCAUGUUGUUCUUUCCUUAUAAAAUUAUUCUAAGCAAGUGUGUAUGAUCCUUGAAUCCUACUAAGGUUCAUAUUGAGGGUAUGGAUGUCCAUAGUGUUCUUAAGUCACNNNNNNNNNNNNNNNNNNNNNNNNNNNNNNNNNNNNNNNNNNNNNNNNNNNNNNNNNNNNNNNNNNNNNNNNNNNNNNNNNNNNNNNNNNNNNNNNNNNNNNNNNNNNNNNNAGGUCCCGAUUGAUAGGUUGAAAGUCCUCCUAGUAGGCUAUCAGCUCAGCGAAGGUGUUGGUGCACUCCACUUGCUCCGGAGUUGCCUAUUUGAUCAGUAUGCUUUGGAUAUGUAUUGAUUGGUAUGGCGGGGCCCUGUCCCGGCCUUUAUGAUUUUAUGUACUCUUAGAGGUUUGUAGAUAGAUGUCAGGUGUAAGGAUAAUUAUAUGGCCUUGUUGGCCUAUGUUUCGAGUUUACUAAUGGUCAUGUCGGCCUUAUAGGCCCGUAUGUCACAUAUAUUAGUUUGUAUAUCAUGUUGGGUCUUCAUAUGUUGAGUAUUCUCUUAUGUUUUAUUCUUGUUAUCUCAUGACGGGUUUUCUGGCUCAUUUACUCACGAUAACAUGAUAAGAAAGAUAUGUUACGUUGGUACUCGGUUGAGUAAGGCACCGGGUGCCCGUCGCGGCCCUUCGGUUUGGGUCGUGACAGAGGAGAUGAUCGAAAAAAUUCAAUCAUACGAUGAACUUCAUCUUGUCUAAUUGAGUUGAAUGACUUGACAUUUUUGGCGCUGAGCAAUUCCAAGAGACAAAUUUUACGCAUUUGUCUCCAGUAAUUGCCAUAAGGAGAAAAGGCAAUGUCCGUCCCAUUAUAACAAACAAUCUUGGCAGCUACAAGUAAAGGCCUAGAUGCAAAAGCGAGGUCAUGAGUUUUUAGUACUUCUUUUGCCAUCUCAGGAGAAGUAAUAACUAGAGAAACUUCGCCUAGUUGAAGGUGCAUAAUUGGUCCAUAUUUUUUGGCUAAAUCUCUAAGGACAUGAUGUGGAAGUCCACCUAGCAUAUGAAGCAUGCUUCCAAGAAUAGGUAAUUUCCAUGGGCCUGGAGGCAAUCUUUUGGUUUGGCUAUUGGAAUUCUUCCAUUUCUUAAAUAAAAAGAGGAAUGACACAAAGGAAAAGGGAAAAGAAGUUGAAGAACUGCAUUUUGGGAGGGAAUUAAAGGGGGGAUUAUUUGACUUGAUAGGUUCUGCAAACUGUUGUUGCAAAUAUGUGCUCUUUUAUAGGCAUUUCGUUUAGGCAAGAAAUGGGAUUUCUCAAAAAAAAAAAAAAAAAAAUAUGAGAUAUGCAUUUUUCAGCAACUUUUUUUUGUCAAUGAAAAGUACUUCACUUGACUCAUUGAACACAUUAUGUGGAGCCAAAUAUGAAAUUUACUUUUGGGAAAAAGGUAAAC
rnacentral:lncRNA from 1 species